rnacentral:lncRNA from 1 species
UUUGUCUCGCUAUCAAACAACCAGAUCUCAAAACCUAAAACCAUCGAUUUCAAACAUCGCUCUCUCUGUCUCGAUCAUUCAAUUUAAGAGAUCCGACCUGGAUAGAUAAUUUCAAGCUCUCAGAUCCAAACGCCGCUCAUACUCAUGUUUGUCGAUUGGAGUGUGGAUAAGCAUGUAUGUGUGAAGGAUUCAAAAGGGGAAGAGAUGCAGAAAGGAGUUGAAUAAUUCCUGGAGCUGAGAGAACAAAAGCAAAACAAAGAACAAAAACGGCUCGUGGUGCUAGUUGACUUCGUUCGUCUAUUUGGAACCCUAGAUGUUGGGCCUUGCAUUCGUCUUCUCAAAAAGUGGUGAUUUUGAUUCAGGUUUGUAGAAGUUGGUAUAGAAAACGAUCAUGUACGUGACGAAAAUGUUUCUGAUGCUGAUACCGGGUUGAAUCAGAUCACCUUCAUUUAUUGGAGACGAAAGAACUAAUUUAUCUGGGAAUGAAGCAGUUAAAACUGUAGCUUCAGCAAACACAGUUGGGAGAGAUGUGCGCUAGGACGACUUGCGGCUGAGCGGCUUCCCCUCCGAUGAGUUUUGGUGGCGGCAGUCGUCACAUCUGAAACCACCUAUCAUGUUUCAGCAACGGAGGAAGUAAUUUUUACCGGCGGAUAACGGACUCCGUGGAGAAGCUCACCAGCGAUGGUAGUACCAGAAACGGCAGCGGUGGCUCUCUUCGUGUAUUGCUGGUUCGGGCCCGGUGUAUUUCUGGUGGAGCUCCGAUUCACAGCUAUAACAGUGGCAGUGUACAUCCCCUUGUAGUCCAUCGGGAGAUGCUGGUUUAGCAAGAUGGAUGUCAUCUGUUGCAAACCAGUGUAAGGAGAGCGAAGGACCAAAUGGUUAAUAGGAUAUAAAACUUUGCAUAAUGGGAGUUGGUGAUAACCAUCAACCAUGACACAAUUGAUGAGGAUAUUAUUUAUGAGCACAAUGAAGUUUUGAGUUUUUAUUUAAAUAUUUAUUAGGUUUUUGUUUUAUACGUUAGAUAUUUAGACUCAAUGUGACACUUGUUAGACAUUUGGAAGAUAAUCGAAGUUAUGAUAUUAUGCUUUCUAUAUU